GUUCGAGCGUCAUUAUGACCAACUCACGCCUAGCGUGGUCUUGGGGCUCGCGGUUUACGCGUCCCUUAAAAUCAGUGGCGGUGCCUCUGGCUCUAAGCGUAGUAAAUUUAUCCUCGCUACAGAAACCAGGUGGUGCUUGCUAGCAACCCCCAAUUUUUUAGGUUGACCUCGGAUCAGGUAGGGAUACCCGCUGAACUUAA
rnacentral:misc_RNA from 1 species